GACGAACGCUGGCGGCGUGCUUAACACAUGCAAGUCGAACGAAGAGCGAUGGAAGCUUGCUUCUAUCAAUCUUAGUGGCGAACGGGUGAGUAACGCGUAAUCAACCUGCCCUUCAGAGGGGGACAACAGUUGGAAACGACUGCUAAUACCGCAUACGAUCUGACCUCGGUAUCGAGGAUAGAUGAAAAGUGGCCUCUACAUGUAAGCUAUCACUGAAGGAGGGGAUUGCGUCUGAUUAGCUAGUUGGAGGGGUAACGGCCCACCAAGGCGAUGAUCAGUAGCCGGUCUGAGAGGAUGAACGGCCACAUUGGGACUGAGACACGGCCCAGACUCCUACGGGAGGCAGCAGUGGGGAAUCUUCCGCAAUGGACGAAAGUCUGACGGAGCAACGCCGCGUGAGUGAUGACGGCCUUCGGGUUGUAAAGCUCUGUUAAUCGGGACGAAAGGCCUUC
rnacentral:rRNA from 1 species